UGGAAACCUCAAGUGCACAUAGUAGACCUUAUGUACCUGAGCUUGUUUUUACAAGGAAAAUUCACUAUCAAAACAACAGAGAAGAAUGAAUGAGAAAUGAAGAAAGUCAGGAAUUGUAGUGAGACAGAGGGACAGAGACUGGUGUGUAUGUUCUCCCAUCUUAGUCCAGUGGACUGUAAGCUUCUAGGCACCAUUAACUCAUGUUAAUGGAGUUUAUAUAGUAGAGUCAUGUGAAUAUAUAGUUUUUUUUUUCUUUAAUAUUUUCCUCAGACUUGGAGGAAGAGUUGUGAAAAAUGAGUGAAGUAAAUAAUACACACAUGUCAGCAAAUACAGUAGUAUUAGCUUUACAUAGAAAAUGGUUCACUUUUUCAUGCGUGAGAUUGCAGGGAUUUAAUGAGGAUCUCCCAGCUGCUUAAGAUAAUGAGUGAGAAAGACAGAAGGAAACACGCAGGGCAGAAUGUGAGGGUGCUGGAGAGGAGAGGAGAAGCUCCUCGCCGAGGCUUGCAGAGACAGAUCGGUCUUCCUGGUAGAAGUACCGUACAAGCUGAGCCACUGAAAGGUGAGGGGAGCUAGCUGGGUGCCAGGAGGAAGCAGGGAGAUGCCUGCCUGGUCUGUUCAAAGUUGCUCAUUUAUUGAGAUGGAAAGCAGGGGGAUUCAAACAGAUUUGGGAAGGGAGCAGAUGAGUUAAUGAUG
ensembl:lncRNA